rnacentral:rRNA from 1 species
UACGUAGGGCGCAAGCGUUGUCCGGAAUUAUUGGGCGUAAAGAGCUCGUAGGCGGCUUGUCACGUCGGGGUGUGAAAGCCCGGGGCUUAACCCCGGGUCUGCAUUCGAUACGGGCAGGCUAGAGUGUGGUAGGGGAGAUCGGAAUUCCUGGUGUAGCGGUGAAAUGCGCAGAUAUUAGGAGGAACACCGGUGGCGAAGGCGGAUCUCUGGGC